UGAGUUGUAGUUUAAUUGGAAAAACACCAUUUUUUGGUAGUGGACUUUAUCAGUUCAAAUCUGGUCAACUCAG
rnacentral:tRNA from 1 species